AGGGCGGACUCGCUCAGGCGGUAUCGCGUUGCUCCAGCAACGCUGAUGCCUGACGCUGUAUUCGAGGUGCUUGUGCUGUUUGCUUUUACACUGUCGUGGACUGUCGUACGAUAUCGCAAGAGACUUCAACGUGCACUCGAGUCGGAGAUACGUGUACGCGUAGAUCGUACCGAACGAGACACUGCAAGCGAAACAGCUCUUGUGUGAUCGCAAUCAGUCAGCUGGGUUGUCCCUUUAUUGAUCAGCUCGUCUCGUGAAGUGCGCCAUAUUUCAGUGAGCUGCAGUAGACUUAGAGUGUGAUCAGGCGCUCAGACUUUGAACGCAAAGCUGGCGCGGUGCGGUCUUUACGUCACCGGCGUACAAGUCGCCGAGAAGCGGCCAGUGCAACACGCAGCCAGUGCCGCCGCACCGAACAUCAUUAUGAACGGCACCGACGACAAUCAAAAAGAGACGGAGGUCUGCGCUUAGCGACACUGUUUCUGGACGGGGCAGCUUGACGCCCAGCUACCCUGGAAACCGAAAAAACACUCUUGUCGAACGGAAUAGGCUGCUUCGUUUCGGGCUCACCCAUGGAACGGUUUGCGAACGCCAGCGCGGCUAGUUUUCCUGUUCUGCAAUCGCUGCCUACCAGAAACCCUAGUAUGUUGAUUUGUGCAAUCAAUCACCGGAUCACAUGCUUUUGAAACUUUACCAGUGAAACAAUGAUUCCAGUAACACGUUCUCUUCGCAAUUUAUCCGCAGUAUGGAGAGAGAACCCGGUACGAAUCCACCUGAGGUCUGGAGGCACCGCAGCUGCAACAUUCGCGUCUGCGUUGCUGCAACACCAUCACCGAUCCGUGUACGAAAGAGGCGGGCGCUACCCAAAGCAUCACGUGCAACCACGAUACAAUUCAAUAGAGUAGGCAGCGCUUUUCUUGAAAAUCUGCCUAUCAUGCGUGCCCUGAGGUUAUUCAUCAUUUCGAAAGCGCAGCAUCGCAGACAGCAUGCAGACAACGAAUGCAAGCACAGUUUGGCUGCCUAGCACGCUUUCGUUCCAUCCAGCGUAACUUGGGUUUAAGGUCGAAUCACCCAUCCAAUGUCGUUACGAGCACCACACGGAAUACCAGUUCGCAAGAAGAACAAGCCUUAAUCGUUGUCACCAGUCGCGAGACGCGAAGGUCCACGACUCGAACCCGUUGUGCGCAUACCGCAUUUGGCAAAGGACGCCUCUGGGUGGGAAGUCUGCCCCUCUCAUCAUGCAGGCUGCUUCGGAUGAUCCGCUGUGUCCACGGUAUCUAAAGCAGGGUCCAUGACCUUUCACUGCUCCAGAAUCAUCCAUGUAAUUUCGUGCGCUGGCCAUCCCGACGCUCCACUGAACGCUUCUGCACCGCAACGCCUCGACACUUUGUCAUGCCGUCGACGACCAGUACCGCAACGAGCGCACAACUACAGGAGCCACGAACACAGGGCCGCUCGGGCGCAGGUGCACCUGCACUGAGCGCACUCGAGAGCCGUUUCCCGCUUCCACUGUAGCCAGGUAGCACCACUGGUAUAGGUACAUGAUCGAUCGCGUAUCCGUCUCGAUCUAGGUACACAGGCGAUGAGCGCAGUUCAGGGAAAAAGUCCAUAGUCGAGUCGCUUCUCAGUCGCGCUUAUCUUCCUCCGUCUGAGCACGUCCACGAGGCGUGUCCAAACGAGCGUACUCAUAUUGUUGACGCCACAUACGAUCCCGGUCUCGAGCGUGUACAGCACGUGCAAUAGCUGCAUGCGUCGCCAAACGUCUAUGCGGGGCGUAACGGUUCAAAUAGUGAAAGGCCAGAUGCGCCCCAAUGGAGAUCAAGCCGAUCAAGAGCGCUGGACCGAGUUUGCUCAUACGUGAAUUGGGCAAGAUGGUAUCACCACGAAGGCCGGAUAAAUACACCAAC
rnacentral:misc_RNA from 1 species